rnacentral:rRNA from 1 species
GGAUACGGCCAUACUGCGCAGAAAGCACCGCUUCCCGUCUGAUCAGCGAAGUUAAACUGCGCCAGGCGGUGUUAGUACUGGGGUGGGCGACCACCCGGGAAUCCACUGUGCCGUAUCCUUUU